ACCUGGCUGGCUCAGUUAGUAGAGCAUGGAAUUCUUUAUCUCAGGGUCGUGAGUUCAAGCCCCAUGCUGGGUG
rnacentral:tRNA from 1 species